rnacentral:tRNA from 1 species
GGUAGCGUGGCCGAGUUGGUCUAAGGCGUUGGAUUUAAGAAAAGGGUUUCCCCCUUGCUUCCCAAUGAAGGUGACUUCGCGCGAGUUCGAAUCUCGCCGCUACCA